AGUUUUUUGUUGUUGUUGUUGUUGUUGUUUUUAAAGACUUAUUUAUUUGUAUGUGAGUACACUGUUGUCUUCAGACACACCAGAAGAGGGCAGCAUAUCCAAUUACAGAUGGUUGUGAGCCACAUUGUGGUUGCUGGAAAUUGAACUCAAACCUCUGGAAGAGCAGUCAGUGCUCUUAACCUCUGAGCCAUCUCUGCAGCACAUGAACCAGGUUUUAAUGGUAACUUGAAAGCUCAUCAUUCCACGGGCAUCACAGUCUGCUCCCCUCCCCAGCGCUGGCUGGGUCCGCAGAAAUGUGCACCUGUUUCUCUUCCCUCUCUCAUGGUGGAAAUGGAACCUAGGGCUUAAUCUGGCCUUUUUGUGUUACUGAUAAUCUUAAGUCCAAGAGUAUGCUUAAUUUGUAGUUUGCCUUCCUCAUUUAUUUAUUUAUUUAUUUAUUUGCAACUAAUGUUCUCAUCAAUUGAGUUAAAUAUUAAGGAGCUGUAAAUACAAACUGAACUAUUCUGUUUUUGUUUUUAUUUUGUUUUUGUAUGAAUGAUUUGACUGCCUAUAUAUCUGUGUACCAUGUUUGCCUGGUGCCAAGGAAGCCAGAAGAAUGAGUUAUAUUCUACUAUGUCGUUGGAGUUACAGACAGUUGAGAGCCACCAUGUGGGUGCUAGGAAUCAAACCUGGGUCCCCUGAAGAGCAGUCAGUCUUUUAAGCCAUCUCUCCAGCCCUUUUUCAUAUGUGUUUCUCUUUAACGAUGUUAUUAGUUAUUUUUACUGUUUUUACAUUUGUGCGCAUAUGUGGAGCUCAGAAGACAGUUGAAGGAGUCUGUUCUCUCCUUCCACCCUGUGGGUCCCUGUGACUGAGUUCCCGUUAUCAGAUUUAGGUAGAAAGUUCCUCACCCACUAAGCCAUCUUGUCAGUUCCUAAAUUGUUCUUUUAAAAAACCAGUUCUAACAAGUCAGACUAUAUGAAUCCUGUCAUCCCUGGAUCUAUAGAUAGAUGUACUAUAUAAAGUUAGUGCUUGUGAAAUUUAUGCAGAACUAAACUGAGGAUUUGAAAUGGGCUGAAGGGCCCAGUGUAGCAUCUUGACAGGCUGUUUUCUAGAUGCUAGCCUUGCUGUUAGUGACUUAAAAUUAUCUAGUUUUGGUUAAAGAAAAAAAGAGGCAGAUUUAAGUUUCUCAAAUUAUAGACUUACUUAGGCUAGUAAUAUACUUACAUACCACUUCCUGGUACUUUACCAUGUUCCAGAUGCUUCUGUUUCACAGUAGUAAUCCUGAGCAGUUAUGUGCAAUUGUUAAAGUUUUUAAUAUGUCACAGAAAUUUAUUCAUUAUAUUUUUCUUUGUGGAGCUGGGCAGUAGUUACACAUUGCGAAUAUCUUUAAUCCUAGGCAGAUGGAUCUGUGACUUCAAGGCACAGUUGGUCUAGACUUGAGUUCUAGGACACCCAGGACUACAGACAGAAACCCUGUCUAAAAUAGUAAUAGUAAUAAUAAUUCUUUUAUUUUUUUUAAACAAAUAGCUUAAGUAUUUUAUUCGUUUGCAACUAAGCUUGUUAACACUAUAUAAUGAAAAUGUACAAAGAAUAAUGUUGCAGGUUUUGGUUAGAUUUAAAUCAAAGACAUUCAUUAAUAAGGAAUCUUCAGAUGUGAAUACCCCAGAAAUGUCCGCAAGCCAGCUGAUCACAACAACUGUCUCUGAAUAUCACCUUACUUUGUAAGGUAUUAGCAAACAUUUGAAUUAAAACUCAAGAUUUUUCCAAAAUAAAGCCGUAAUUAAUAUAACUAUUCUGUAUUCAAACUAAAACAGUUUUCAUAAAACUUUCCUUUCCAAAACAACAGUAAAGGAACCAAGGCAUUUUGUAAAAUGUGGUCCUGAACAAGUCACAGUAAAAAUAAAUGUAUACUUAAAUCCCACCUCCUCAAAACAGAGGCUGCUUUCUGCUCACAACCUUGGGACCAAGGCAAAGAACAGCCAAUAAGCAACUUCCGGCAGGGUAUUGCCAAAACCAAGCUCUAAGGGUUGAACACGGACACCUCAGGAGAGUUUGGGGUAACCUGGACAAAGGGUCCAGAUUCUAUGUUGAAACUGAUGCUAAGGUGAGCGGCUCCUCCCGGGUAGCAGUGCUGUGAGCCUGGCCCAGCCCCGCACUCGUUACAUGCUCCGAGGACACCCUGAUCUUCCGCUCCAGGGGAGAUCUUUUCCCUGUAGAAGUUCAGCGUUCAGGGAGCUCCGUGACUGUAUGAAUGAGGUGAGCUCAGACUCCACAGGAUAUUUUAAGGCUUGGAGUCAAAGUAUUUUUCCAGCACAGCUAGGCAGAGUCCAUGUACUGAUAGCCUGUCUCAGUUUGUUCUAAUUUCUCACUACGUAUUUGCAGAUUCAGGACUGCAGACCUUCCCUAGAUCAUCAUAAUCACAUCUAAUGUCCAUCCUAACUCACAUUUCAAAUUCUAUGCCUGGGAACAGUCCCUGUAUUUAACGAUAAUACCUACAAAUAAGCAACCCACUGUUACAACCUAUAUGGUCACCAAACAUUAAUGAUAUUCUGUAGACCAAGAAAAUGUUUUUAACCAUAAUUGUCGUGCAUCAAAUUCACAGCCAGAAUCCCCAAGAUCAAAAAAAUUUUUUUUGCACAAUACAAAUAAUAACUUAAAACACAGACACACACACGCACACACUCUCACUUCUCACAGAGCUGUGCUUGGGGAGACUCCACGUGUUGAGUGCCACUGAAGGCAUUCUUUGCUAGACUGCUGUUGCAGGUACUUUGUCUGGAAAACCUAUCACAGUAGGGCACAGCUGUUUAGUGGAUGAACAGAAAAGAAAGAUAUGCUUGUGGCAACCAGAAAGGUUUAAGGUCUUUCAAGUUGUAUAAAAUGGACCUGCAGAGACAUUUAAGUGUUCUCAGGGUGCAAAGUUGGAGCUGAAAUGUGAUAUCAAACCAGUUGCAAAAAGUGUACAGCAGCCAUCUCUUGAGGUCACACCUGGUACCAGAUAGGCAAGAAGGCUUCAGGAUACACCUGGGAGUUUGGUACUGAGGGUCUGCUCAUACUCCUCUCGGACUUUAUCUCAUAGUAUUUUAAGAGACGCUCACACAUUAACCCCACUUGUCGAAGGGUAAAGGUGGGCUGGCCCUUCUUCAUCCAGAAAGCACCUGGAGAACCUGGUGCAGUGAGUGCCGAGGAGGAAGGCUGACUUUCUGAAGUAUAGGCUUCGCUUUGACUGAGAACAACUUCUAAAUGUCUCCAUCUCUGGUAACGAUUAUAUUCUUGUUUUAUGUUCUGAAAAAUUUGCUCGGGAGUUGGAAGACAACUCUCGCUGCCGGGCGGGGCAGGCUGCUGGAGGCUCGCCGGUGGCGUCUGCAUCUGAAGUGGUGGCGGCUCGGCGUCCGGGGGGCCUGAGGCCCGGAGUGGGGCCGGGCAGAGGGGCGCAGCGUUGCCGAUUCGGGGAACCGGGCUAAUAAUUCCUUUAUUAGGAUCCAUUUUUUUCUAUCACAAAGUUGAAAGUUAAAACGUUUGAAAUAGUUAUUUUUCUUUUUUUUAUUAUUAUUACAGCUUUACCAACAGGGACGCUUGUGUCAGCUCGGCAGUGAAUUCUGUGAAUUGGAAGUUUUUGCUAAAGUUUUGAGAGCUUUGGAUAAAAGGUAAAUUUGUGUGUAUGUGUAUAAGCUUUCUUGCUUCCUUCCUUCCUUUCUUGUCUCAUGUGGAUCAAGAUGGCCUUGAACUUGUUAAACUUCUGAUCCUCCUGCCUCUAUUUAAAUGCUUGGAUUACAGAUAAUGGACAGGGUCACCCCCUUGCCCCCAAAAUAUCCACCACCACUACAACAAAAACCUGCUAAAAUGUAUAUAACAUAAAAUUUGCCACUUGUAUCAUUUUAAAAUGCAUAAUUCAAGGACUAGAGAGAUGUCUCAGUGGUCAGGAGCACUGGCUGUUCUUCCUGCAGACCUGGGUUCAAUCCCCAGUAUUACCUGUGAGCUCACACCUGUCUGCAGUUCCACUUCCAGGGCUUCUGACACCCGUAUGCAGAUAUACAUGCAGGCAAAACACCAAUGGAC
rnacentral:lncRNA from 1 species